rnacentral:rRNA from 1 species
AUGAACGCUGGCGGCGUGCCUAAUACAUGCAAGUCGAGCGAACAGAUAAGGAGCUUGCUCCUUUGACGUUAGCGGCGGACGGGUGAGUAACACGUGGGUAACCUACCUAUAAGACUGGGAUAACUUCGGGAAACCGGAGCUAAUACCGGAUAACAUUUGGAACCGCAUGGUUCUAAAGUGAAAGAUGGUUUUGCUAUCACUUAUAGAUGGACCCGCGCCGUAUUAGCUAGUUGGUAAGGUAACGGCUUACCAAGGCGACGAUACGUAGCCGACCUGAGAGGGUGAUCGGCCACACUGGAACUGAGACACGGUCCAGACUCCUACGGGAGGCAGCAGUAGGGAAUCUUCCGCAAAAGGCGAAAGCCUGACGGAGCAACGCCGCGUGAGUGAUGAAGGGUUUCGGCUCGUAAAACUCUGUUAUUAGGGAAGAACAAAUGUGUAAGUAACUGUGCACGUCUUGACGGUACCUAAUCAGAAAGCCACGGCUAACUACGUG